GGGCCCGUAGCUCAGCUAGGUAGAGCGGCGGGCUUUUAACCCGUAGGUCCCGGGUUCGAAUCCCGGCGGGCCCG
rnacentral:tRNA from 2 species